GGCCUAUCAGCUUGUUGGUGGGGUAGUGGCCUACCAAGGCGACGACGGGUAGCCGGCCUGAGAGGGUGACCGGCCACACUGGGACUGAGACACGGCCCAGACUCCUACGGGAGGCAGCAGUGGGGAAUAUUGCGCAAUGGGCGGAAGCCUGACGCAGCGACGCCGCGUGGGGGAUGACGGCCUUCGGGUCGUAAACCCCUUUCAGCAGGGACGAAGAUGACGGUACCUGCAGAAGAAGCCCCGGCCAUACUACGUGCCAGCAGCCGCGGUAAGACGUAGGGGGCGAGCGUUGUCCGGAAUUAUUGGGCGUAAAGGGCUCGUAGGCGGUUCGGUAAGUCGGAUGUGAAAACUCAGGGCUCAACCCUGAGACGCCAUCUGAUACUGCUGUGACUCGAGUUCGGUAGAGGAGUGUGGAAUUCCUGGUGUAGCGGUGAAAUGCGCAGAUAUCAUGAGGAACACCUAUGGCGAAGGCAGCACUCUGG
rnacentral:rRNA from 1 species